GACGAACGCUGGCGGCGUGCUUAACACAUGCAAGUCGAACGGAAAGGCCCUGCAUUUGUGGGGUGCUCGAGUGGCGAACGGGUGAGUAACACGUGAGUAACCUGCCCUUGACUUUGGGAUAACUUCAGGAAACUGGGGCUAAUACCGGAUAGGAGCUCCUGCUGCAUGGUGGGGGUUGGAAAGUUUCGGCGGUUGGGGAUUGACUCGCGGCUUAUCAGCUUGUUGGUGGGGUAGUGGAUUACCAAGGCUUUGACGGGUAGCCGGCCUGAGAGUGUGACCGGCCACAUGGGGAAUGAGAUACGGCACAGACUCCUACGGGAGGCAGCAGUAGGGAAUAGUGCACAAUGGGCGGAAGCCUGAUGCAGCAACGCCGCGUGAGGGAUGACGGCCUGCGUGUUGUAAACCGCUUUCGCCUGGGACGAAGCGUGAGUGACGGUAAUGGGUAAAGAAGCACCGGCUAACUACGUG
rnacentral:rRNA from 1 species